AUGCAGCCAUGCCGCGUGUGUGAAGAAGGCCUUCGGGUUGUAAAGCACUUUCAGUUGUGAGGAAAAGUUAGUAGUUAAUACCUGCUAGCCGUGACGUUAACAACAGAAGAAGCACCGGCUAACUCCGUGCCAGCAGCCGCGGUAAUACGGAGGGUGCGAGCGUUAAUCGGAAUUACUGGGCGUAAAGCGCACGCAGGCGGUUUGUUAAGCUAGAUGUGAAAGCCCCGGGCUCAACCUGGGAUGGUCAUUUAGAACUGGCAGACUAGAGUCUUGGAGAGGGGAGUGGAAUUCCAGGUGUAGCGGUGAAAUGCGUAGAUAUCUGGAGGAACAUCAGUGGCGAAGGCGACUCCCUGGCCAAAGACUGACGCUCAUGUGCGAAAGUGUGGGUAGCGAACAGGAUUAGAUACCCUGGUAGUCCACACCGUAAACGCUGUCUACUAGCUGUUUGUGGCUUUAAGCCGUGAGUAGCGAAGCUAACGCGCUAAGUAGACCGCCUGGGGAGUACGGCCGCAAGGUUAAAACUCAAAUGAAUUGACGGGGGCCCGCACAAGCGGUGGAGCAUGUGGUUUAAUUCGAUGCAACGCGAAGAACCUUACCUACACUUGACAUGCAGAGAACUUUCUAGAGAUAGAUUGGUGCCUUCGGGAACUCUGACACAGGUGCUGCAUGGCUGUCGUCAGCUCGUGUCGUGAGAUGUUGGGUUAAGUCCCGCAACGAGCGCAACCCUUGUCCUUAGUUGCCAGCAUUCAGUUGGGCACUCUAAGGAGACUGCCGGUGACAAACCGGANGAAGGUGGGGA
rnacentral:rRNA from 1 species